ACCCAGACCGCCAGCUAAGGUCCCAAAGUUGUGGUUAAGUGGUAAACGAUGUGGGAAGGCUUAGACAGCUAGGAGGUUGGCUUAGAAGCAGCCAUCCUUUAAAGAAAGCGUAAUAGCUCACUAGUCGAGUCGGCCUGCGCGGAAGAUGUAACGGGGCUCAAACCACACACCGAAGCUGCGGGUGUCACGUAAGUGACGCGGUAGAGGAGCGUUCUGUAAGCCUGUGAAGGUGAGUUGAGAAGCUUGCUGGAGGUAUCAGAAGUGCGAAUGCUGACAUGAGUAACGACAAUGGGUGUGAAAAACACCCACGCCGAAAGACCAAGGGUUCCUGCGCAACGUUAAUCGACGCAGGGUUAGUCGGUUCCUAAGGCGAGGCUGAAAAGCGUAGUCGAUGGGAAACAGGUUAAUAUUCCUGUACUUCUGGUUACUGCGAUGGAGGGACGGAGAAGGCUAGGCCAGCUUGGCGUUGGUUGUCCAAGUUUAAGGUGGUAGGCUGAAAUCUUAGGUAAAUCCGGGGUUUCAAGGCCGAGAGCUGAUGACGAGUCGUCUUUUAGAUGACGAAGUGGUUGAUGCCAUGCUUCCAAGAAAAGCUUCUAAGCUUCAGGUAAUCAGGAACCGUACCCCAAACCGACACAGGUGGUCGGGUAGAGAAUACCAAGGCGCUUGAGAGAACUCGGGUGAAGGA
rnacentral:rRNA from 1 species